UUUGAUUGAAAAAAAUGAUAUAAUAAUUUUUAAAAAAUAAAAGAGUUAAAGUCGCCGUGCUUCAUUUCAUAAUUGAAGACCAAGUCAUCAAUCUUCAUCUCCUUCGCCGAGACUUGGUGGCAUGUUUACUAAAGGAGUGUUUUUGACUCUAUGCACUUAUAUACUUAAAAAAGAAAUUUACGAUAAAAAUACUCAAAGUUACGUUUUUAACAGUUUUACCACUACAAGUUCUGUUAUAUACACUAGGGCUAAUUGGGAUUACACAUGUUAUUCAGCUAUUGUUCCACCUUAUCAUUUGAAAAAAAAUCUAUUUAAUUGAUUUUAAAAAUAAAAAAUAAUUAAAAAAUCUAUUUUAAAUAAUAUAAUAUUAAAAAUUAAAAAAUUAUUUCUUUUUAUUUUUCUCUCUCUCAUUCAUCUCCUUGACUCUUCUUCUUCUUCUUUUGGCGUUUUGUAGAAUAGUCUUGGAGUGCCCACCCACCGUCAACCUCACCGGAGUGCCCAACCACCGUCGAUCUCACCGAACUGCCCACCCAUCGUCGAUGUUGCCUAGCCUUCCCCAAUCAUCGUACAAAACUAGAUCUACCCUCAUCUUCAUUAACGAUGAUUUUGGUACUGCAGAGAUUCAUUGGCCCAGCGACGGAGUUUCAGGCAAGAGGUAGGAAUAUCGCCAGGGAAGCUCACUGUUAAGAAAAACACCCAUAAAAAAAAGCUAGAGGAGUGAACUUGGAUCAAUGGAUUGAGCAAUGGUUAGUUGGAACACUUGAACUUGAUACGCCAGAAGGAGUUUGUCGCUCGCCUUCAUCAAACCUAGAUCAUCGGCAAAUCAGAUGUGUCCUUUGACAUUUCCCUUCGAAUCUAAAUCCUUGACUAACCAAAUUUUUCCUCCAUUGAUCUUCGCCUCAAUCCAAGAUUCGAUGCUGACCAUGGAAGGGACGAAGCUCCACCAUGGGUUUCGACUAGUGACAGGGAAGCUCCUCAAUGCCAGUCAUUCACAAACCUAGAUCUCGACAAUUGGGAGGGAGGAAGCUCAAGCACGAUCUUUGGGAGGGACCGUUGGGAGGGAUUGAGUACCACAAACCCAAAUCUUGACCAUAAUUCAUAAUUCUUCAUAUCAACAAAGAAGAAGAAGAAGAAAGAAAAAAAAAGAUAAAACUUAGUUUUGUUGUUUUUAUUUUUUAGUAAGAUUAGAUUUAAGUUGUCACAUUUCAUUUCAGUUCGUUUUUAGUUUUUCAUUUUUAUUUAGAUUAGAUUUAUGUUUUAUUUUUAAUUUUAAUUUUAAUUUGUAUAUUGGUUAUUGUGGAUGCCAAAAAUCCACCAAGAAAAAAAUUCCCAGUACAUGGUUAAAAUACAA